AUUGAACGCUGGCGGCAGGCUUAACACAUGCAAGUCGAGCGGGGAAGAGUAGCUUGCUACUUAACCUAGCGGCGGACGGGUGAGUAAUGCUUAGGAAUCUGCCUAUUAGUGGGGGACAACACCUCGAACGGGAUGCUAAUACCGCAUACGUCCUACGGGAGAAUGCAGGGGACCGUCGGUCCUUCCGCUAAUAGAUGGGCCUAAGUCGGAUUAGCUAGUUGGUGGGGUAAAGGCCUACCAAGGCGACGAUCUGUAGCGGGUCUGAGAGGAUGGUCCGCCACACUGGGACUGAGACACGGCCCAGACUCCGACGGGAGGCAGCAGUGGGGAAUAUUGGACAAGGGGGGGAACCCUGAUCCAGCCAUGCCGCGUGUGUGAAGAAGGCCUUUUGGUUGUAAAGCACUUUAAGCGAGGAGGAGGCUACCGAGAUUAAUACUCUUGGAUAGUGGACGUUACUCGCAGAAUAAGCACCGGCUAACUCUGUGCCAGCCGCCGCGGUAACAC
rnacentral:rRNA from 1 species